ensembl:snoRNA U3 Small nucleolar RNA U3
AAGAUUAUACUUUCAGGGAUCAUUUCUACAGUUUGUAACUAGAGAAAUUUGUCUGACUCUGUAGAGUACCAGAAACCAGGAGGAGGAGGCACAUUGUUCUUUCCUGAGUGUGAAGCUGAUUUCGGGGUUGCUUUGAGGCAGCUGCCUUUUGAAACUGACAAUUAUUCUUCUCUGCUCCUAGGAGAGGGAGAGGGAGAGAAUAGAGUCUGAGUGAC